UGCGCAAUGUUUGCAUAAUUCCGAUACUGCCUGAUCAGCUUCUAGGCAGCUACCGUAAAAGUCUGACCAACAAGAGUGCACAAAAUUACAGUUAGAAGCGCUACGCCGCUAGUGCAAUUAGAAUCCGAUGAAAACGAAAUUUAUUUAUGAUAAAAAAAACUCCGUAAAAACCAUUGUGCAACAAUUUUAAAAAAAUGGAGACGUUUUAUAUAUUUGCAAGAUUUCAAGUCUAGAUGCAAUUAGAGAGUACUCCCUCCGUUUCAUAAUUCUUGUCUCAAAUUUGCCAAAAAAUAAAUGUAUCUAUUUCUAAAAAACGUCUAGAUAUAUGUAAUAUUUCGACAAGAAUUAUGAAAAUGAUUCAACUUUAUCAAAUGCCACUCAUCCUUUUUGCUUCCAUCAUAGUACUCCAUAGGCGAGGGACAGAUACAACGAACAGAAUUAUGCUAACCAUAAAAAAAAAAGCGAUGCUCAGAGUGCACCUUCCAAACUCCAGUCUGAAUCGCAAGCAGUGUUCAGUUCGCCGACUGACAACUCGGGCCUGACUGUGAUUGCAACCAUCUCAGGAUAAGGCGAAUGAACUUACAAAUGUGCAUAUCCAACAUCGAUCUUCGUCCUGGCCGACGAAGGAUGUGUUUUUCGCAGUAUUUUGCCAUAAUCAGGAGGCAAAAGCUAGCGCGAGAUUUACCUGCAAGUAGAUGCAACCAUACAGGCAAGAGGCGAACACAGCAGCAUCGUUUCUUCAUGUGUACAGACAAGUAGAUACAGGCAACACAACACACAUCUAGUGAAGUAGUGAUGAUCAUAGAACCCAAAGAAGCACGUUAGGGGAUUUCUUCAUGUAUUUCUCAAGACUCCCUAAUUCUGCUUCUCAGGAGUCAUGUUUUUUAUUACCAUUAUUUUUAAAGUUGUUACAUACUUUAAUGUGUGGAGCCAGGCCAUUCCUUUUCCA